GGUCGCGUGGCCCAAUGGCAAGGCGUCUGACUACGAUUUCGUAGCUCAAUCAGGAGAUUGCGGGUUCGAUCCCCGUCGUGACCU
rfam:Trichosporon asahii var. asahii CBS 8904 unplaced genomic scaffold scaffold00190, whole genome shotgun sequence.